AGGCAGCAGUGAGGAAUCUUGCGCAAUGGGGGCAACCCUGACGCAGCAACGCCGCGUGAGUGAGGAAGGUCUUCGGAUCGUAAAGCUCUGUCGGAUGGAAAGAACCGCAUAGGGGUAAAUAGCCCCUGUGUCUGACGGUACCAUCAAAGGAAGCACCGGCUAACUCCGUGCCAGCAGCCGCGGUAAUACGGGGGGUGCAAGCGUUGUUCGGAAUUAUUGGGCGUAAAGAGCGUGUAGGCGGCCUGAUGUGUCAGAUGUGAAAGCCCUGGGCUUAACCCAGGAAGUGCAUUUGAAACUGUCAGGCUUGAGUAGGGGAGAGGGAAGUGGAAUUCCUGGUGUAGAGGUGAAAUUCGUAGAUAUCAGGAGGAACACCGGUGGCGAAGGCGACUUCCUGGCCCUAUACUGACGCUGAGACGCGAGAGCGUGGGUAGCAAACAGGAUUAGAUACCCCUGUAGUC
rnacentral:rRNA from 1 species